rnacentral:rRNA from 1 species
GCUCAAAUUUGAAAUCUGGCUUCGGCCCGAGUUGUAAUUUGUAGAGGAUGCUUUUGGUGAGGUGCCUUCUGAGUUCCCUGGAACGGGACGCCAGAGAGGGUGAGAGCCCCGUAUAGUUGGACACCGAGCCUCUGUAAAGCUCCUUCGACGAGUCGAGUAGUUUGGGAAUGCUGCUCAAAAUGGGAGGUAUAUCUCUUCUAAAGCUAAAUACUGGCCAGAGACCGAUAGCGCACAAGUAGAGUGAUCGAAAGAUGAAAAGCACUUUGAAAAGAGGGUUAAAUAGUACGUGAAAUUGUUGAAAGGGAAGCGCUUGUGACCAGACUUGUGCCCGGCUGAUCAUCCAGUGUUCUCACUGGUGCACUCUGCCGGGCUCAGGCCAGCGUCGGUUCUCGCAGGGGGACAAAAGCUUCGGGAACGUAGCUCCUCCGGGAGUGUUAUAGCCCGUCGCUCAAUACC